GGCGGUAACCCUUCUGAGCUAAAAAAAAACUGAAACACGGGAGUGAGUGUCGUGACAGGGCCGUCGCUGAAGUUGCCAUGCUUUAGUGCGAGGCCCUGUUGCAAGGGUGAGGGUUGGACCAUUUAGGGUGUGAUGAGUGCUUUAUGGAGCAUCUCCUUAAUGCUCAACCAGCUACCCUUGUAACAAGGACCACCUAUUCCUGGACAAGGGAAGCGCACUUGUGUGUGCGGCCCUUGUUGUUUUGUCUAUCACUCCUGAGCUA
rnacentral:siRNA from 1 species